AACACGGACCAAGGAGUGCAACAUGCGUGCGAGUCUUGGGGUGGCAAACCCGUCGGCGCAAUGAAAGUGAAGGCAGAUUCUGGUCUGCUGAGGCGAGAGCCUCCCCCGUGGGGGCCCAUCGUCGACCGAUCCCAGGCUACGCUGUGGCGGGAUUUGAGUGAGAGCGUGCCUGUUGCGACCCGAAAGAUGGUGAACUAUGCCUGAAUAGGGCGAAGCCAGAGGAAACUCUGGUGGAAGCUCGCAGCGAUUCUGACGUGCAAAUCGAUCGUCAAAUUUGGGUAUAGGGGCGAAAGACUAAUCGAACCAUCUAGUAGCUGGUUCCCUCCGAAGUUUCCCUCAGGAUAGCUGGAGCCCGGUGCAGUUUUAUCAGGUAAAGCGAAUGAUUAGAGGUCUUGGGGUUGAAACAACCUCAACCUAUUCUCAAACUUUAAAUGGGUAAGAAGCCCGGCUUGCUUAAUUGAAGUCGGGCAUGGAAUGCCGGGGCUCCUAGUGGGCCAUUUUUGGUAAGCAGAACUGGCGAUGUGGGAUGAACCAAAUGCCGGGUUAAGGUGCCCGAAUCGACGCUCAUCAGAUCCCAUGAAAGGUGUUGGUUGAUAUAGACAGCAGGACGGUGGCCAUGGAAGUCGGAAUCCGCUAAGGAGUGUGUAACAACUCACCUGCAAA
rnacentral:rRNA from 1 species